GGACGACCUCUUUCCGUAAGGAGAGAGGCAGUGGCGGACGGGUGAGUAGCACAUGGGAACCUACCUUCCGGUGAGGGAUACCGGCGCGAAAGCGCCGACAAGCCCGCAUAGGGUCUUCUUAAGGGAGAGCAAAGCCUUGAGAGAGGCGCCGGGGGAUGGGCCUGUGGCCGAUUAGCUAGCUGGUGGGGUAAAAGCUCACCAGGGCGACGAUCGGUAGCUGGUCUGAGAGGAUGAUCAGCCACACUGGGAUUGAGAACGGCCCAGACUCCUACGGGGGGCAGCAGUGAGGAAUUUUCGGCAAUGGGCGAGUAGCCUGACCGAGCAACGCCGCGUGCAGGAAGACGCUUUUACGGAGUGUAAACUGCUUUUCUCUGCGACGAGCAAGGACGG
rnacentral:rRNA from 1 species